AUUUUUAAGGGAAAACUAAAAUAGUUGGCAACGCUGAAGUAAAAAAGAAAGACGCUCCAGAUAAUAAAAGGCAUUAAAAGUCUUAGUAAUCUCAUUGAACCUGAAAUCGAACACGUGAUCAUAUUUGAUGAUAUCGUAUGUGCAGAAAUGUGAGACGUUGAUAUACUUAUUCCAAAUUCUAUCGAAAAUAAUAAGAAUCAACAACGUGGUCAUAUUGAUGAUAUAUACAGACAUGUGAGACGCAAAUUCUCUCGAGAGUAA
rnacentral:lncRNA from 1 species